CGCACAUAAACAAGAACCGCUUCGGGGUAAUGUUUAUGGAAUGAGCGGCGGACGGGUGAGUAACACGUGGGCAACCUGCCUGUAACAUCGGGAUAACUCGCGGAAACGUGAGCUAAUACCGGAUAACACUUUUCAUCUCAUGGUGAGAAGAUAAAAGACGGUUUCGGCUGUCACUUACAGAUGGGCCCGCGGCGCAUUAGCUAGUUGGUGAGGUAACGGCUCACCAAGGCGACGAUGCGUAGCCGACCUGAGAGGGUGAUCGGCCACACUGGGACUGAGACACGGCCCAGACUCCUACGGGAGGCAGCAGUAGGGAAUCUUCCGCAAUGGACGAAAGUCUGACGGAGCAACGCCGCGUGAGUGAUGAAGGUUUUCGGAUCGUAAAACUCUGUUGUUAGGGAAGAACAAGUUGGGUAGUAACUGACCCAACCUUGACGGUACCUAACCAGAAAGCCACGGCUAACUACGUGCCAGCAGCCGCGGUAAUACGUAGGUGGCAAGCGUUGUCCGGAAUUAUUGGGCGUAAAGCGCUCGCAGGCGGUCUUUUAAGUCUGAUGUGAAAGCCCACGGCUUAACCGUGGAGGGUCAUUGGAAACUGGAGGACUUGAGUACCGAAGAGGAGAGUGGAAUUCCACGUGUAGCGGUGAAAUGCGUAUAGAUGUGGAGGAACACCAGUGGCGAAUGCGACUCUCUGGUCUGUAACUGACGCUGAGGAGCGAAUGCGUGGGUAGCGAACACGAUUACAUACCCUGGUAGUCCACGCCGUAUACGAUGAGUGCUACGUGUUAGGCGGAUUCCGCCCCUUAAUGCUGAAGUAACGCAUUACGACUCCGCCUGGAGAGUCCGCCACAAGGCUGAAACUCAAAGAAUUGACGGGGACCGCACAACUGUGGAGCAUGUGGUUAAUUCAAACAACGCGACAACCUUACACGUCUUGACAUCUCUGAUACUUUAGAGAUGCAGUUUCCCUUCGGGACGAAUGACAGGUGUGCAUGUUGUCGCAGCUCUGUCAGAAAUGUGGGUUACUCCCGCACGAGCGCAGCCUUGAUCUUAUUGACAGCAUCAAAUUGGCACUCUAAGUGACUGCCGGUGACAAACCGAGGAAGUUGGGAUGACGUCAAUCACAUUCCCCUAUGACCUGGGCUACACCUUGUUCAUGGAUGGACCACGGGAACCAACCCCCAGGCCAGCCAAUCCCAAAAACCUUUCCAUUUCGAUUUUGGCUGCAACUCC
rnacentral:rRNA from 1 species